rnacentral:rRNA from 1 species
GACGAACGCUGGCGGCGUGCUUAACACAUGCAAGUCGAACGAUGAAGUUCCUUCGGGAAUGGAUUAGUGGCGAACGGGUGAGGAACACGUGAGAAACCUGCCUUUCAUUUUGGGAUAACUCCGGGAAACCGGGGCUAAAACCGAAUACUCCGUCUCGGCGGCAUCGCUGAGCCGGGAAAAAAUUUUGAUGAAAGAUGGUCUCGCGGCCUAUCAGCUAGUUGGUGAGGUAAUGGCUCACCAAGGCAACGACGGGUAGCCGGCCUGAGAGGGCGACCGGCCAAACUGGGACUGAGAAACGGCCCAGACUCCUACGGGAGGCAGCAGUGGGGAAUAUUGGGCAAUGGGCGCAAGCCUGACCCAGCGACGCCGCGUGAGGGAUGAAGGCCUUCGGGUUGUAAACCUCUUUCAGUAGGGAAGAAGCGGAAGUGACGGUACCUAAAGAAGAAGCACCGGCUAACUAUGUGCCAGCCGCCGCCGUAA